GUAAACGGCUGCAUAAAUCUGAGUGUACUAAGGUAGCGCUAUAAUUUGCCCUUCAAAUGGGGGCUGGUAUGAAUGGGUUCACGUGAGAGUUGCUGUGUCAUAAAAAAAUUUUUGAAAUUAACUUUUAGGUGAAGAGGCCUAAUUAAAAUUAAAGGACGACAAGACCCUAGAAGCUUUACUAAGAGUAGGUUAAUAAAUUAAUUUACUUAAGUUUUGUUGGGGCAACAUAGUUAGAAAGUAUAACUUGUUUAUUGUAAACUUACAAGUUAAAACCACAUUGGUGAAUAAGAUAAGUUACUCUAGGGAUAACAGCGUUAUUUUUUUUAAUAGUACGUAUUGUAAAAAAAGUUUGCGACCUCGAUGUUGGACUAAGGUGUCCUUAAGGCGUAGAAGUUUUAAAGGGUUGGCCUGUUCGUCCAUUAAAACCUUACA
rnacentral:rRNA from 1 species